UAGCAUCGUGGUAAAUAUUAUCUUGACCAUGAUGAUGAAUAUGUUAUCAUCUGUGAUGUAGAGCUACAUGAUUGUCAUCUAGUAGUUUUUUUAUAAUUUGUUUCUUUUUUUGCUUUUAAAGGUCAUAGAACUCUGUGAUUAAGCUUCUCUGUACUAAGUUUAAAAGUAUGAAUUUGUUCUUUGAAUGAGCAAGCUGUGUCUCUGAAACUGAGGAAUGAGUCCCUGUUUCACAGCACAAUUUUGCUUUUAUUUUCACCGUCUUCAUAGAAAACACUCGUGAGUUAUAUGAGGAUGUUUCUCACAGACAUUUAAUUUUUAAUAAACGGUCACUAGGUACUAAACUGAUAUUAUAUAAACGAAUAACACAAUAAGUGGUAAGAGGAAGCUGUUCAUGAUAUGAUUUGCAAGAUGGUUACCCUAUACAUUUAACACUUUUCUUACACAUAUAAUGUUAGCCAGUGUUUUUGUUUUUGUUUUUGUUUUGGCCGUGUCACGUGGUUUGCAGGAUCUUAGUUCCCUGACCAAGGAUCUAACCCGUGCCCCAUGCAGUAGAGGCGUGGAGUCCUAACCACUGGACCUCCAGGGAAUUCCCCACACACAAUUUUAAAGGAUUUGAGUAUAAACUAUGUUUACAUGCAUGUUUGUUAAUCCAAAUAAAUUUUUAUAUAGUAGCAAAGGGGCAGAGAUGAAAACAAUACCAUAUAGUAGUUUUUAUGUGCUGUUUUAAAACUGUACUCCCAGGAUCCUUAGGACUGAAACAAUAGUAUUGAACCUUUAUGUUUCCAGCUCUAUGAAUGAUUCAUUCUCUAUGAUCUUUUCUGUAGCUACUAAAGUUGUUCAAUUUAUAAGAAAACAAACAAAAAAAAAAUCGAGGGAUCAAGACAAUGUGUGGUCAUGUUCAGUAAACCCAAAUAUUACUGGUGGGGAAAUGCCCCUGGAAAGUGUAGGAUGAGAAGACCUUUGGAUAAAGACAGAGCUACUUUACAACAACUGGGGACAAGAUGAAUUUUCAACUGUGGACUUGUUUCAUGCAAAAAUGCUUGGAGGAUUUGGGAAUUUAGUUGGAAAGUUGUAUCCAGAAUGGAAUCUAAACAUAACAUAUUCUUCAAGUGCACUUGAUGGAAAUGCAAAUUGAGGUUUCAUGAAUGCCUGUGUUUUCUUUGAAUCUUUGCUUUAAUAAACCAGUUUUCCUUACUUUAUGAUACAUUAUGUACUACCACUAGUAAAUUUGAGCCAGUCAUGUAUUCAGAUCUUUUGCUCUUUUACCUAGAACUGCCUUCCCCUUUCAACAUUCUCUUUCAUAACCUGAAACAUAAAGAGGGUAGCAUUCAUCCAUCCAUUCAUGACUUUCAUACAUUGCAAGGUAGAGUUACUUGUGUAAUUCAAAGGUUGGAAAUGACUUGCCAUUUUAGAAGGUAAAGAUCAAAGUCAUGCCUUAAACUGUAGCCUAAAAAAGUGUUACUCUCCAAUAUGAUCUGCAGUUUAAUAUUUAUUUUAGAUGUUUUAAGUUAUGAGAGGUGCCCCUGACAUUCUCUGAAUCCAUUAAAACCUGACUACCAUUUAUCAGUGGCUUCAUUCAUUCAUUCCAUGUGUGUGUUCAUUAUCCAUUCAUGCACUGACACAUUUGUAUGCUGGUUUAUGGAAGAUGAAUUAAAAAUAGUUCAAGUUCUCUUGGGAGUUUGGGACUAGCAGAUGCAAACUAUUAUACAUAGGAUGGAUAAACAGCAAGGUCCUAUAAUAAACCAUAAUAGAAAAGAAAAAAAAUAACUAUGGGUAUCUAUAUAUGGUGACAUCAUAACUAGACUUACUGUGGUGAUCAUUUUGAAAUGCAUAGAAAUAUUGAAUCACUGUAUUGUACACCAAGAACUAACAUAGUGCUGUAGGUCAAUUAUACUUCAAAAACAAAAAAACAAACUUAUAGAAAAAGAGAUGAGAUUUGUGGUUACCCUAGGUGGAAGGGGGAACUGGAUGAAGACAGUGAAAGGUACAAACUUAUUUAUAAGAUAAAUAUUAGAGAUGUAAUGUACAACAUGAUAAAUAUAAUUAACACGGCUAUAUGUUAUAUAUGAAAGUUGUUAAGACUAAAUCCUAAGAGUUCUCAUCACAAGAAAAAAAAUCUUUUUUCUAUUUCUUUAAUUUUGUAUCUAUAUGAGAUGAUGGAUGUUCACUAAACUUACUGUGAUACUCAUUUCAUGAUGCAUGUAAGUCAAAUCAUUAUUGCUGUACAGCUUAAACUUAGUACUAUAUGUC
ensembl:lncRNA